rnacentral:rRNA from 1 species
CCUACGGGUGGCAGCAGUGAGGAAUAUUGGUCAAUGGACGAGAGUCUGAACCAGCCAAGUAGCGUGAAGGAUGACUGCCCUAUGGGUUGUAAACUUCUUUUAUAAAGGAAUAAAACGAGGCACGUGUGCCUUUUUGCAUGUACUUUAUGAAUAAGGAUCGGCUAACUCCGUGCCAGCAGCCGCGGUAAUACGGAGGAUCCGAGCGUUAUCCGGAUUUAUUGGGUUUAAAGGGAGCGUAGAUGGGUUGUUAAGUUAGUUGUGAAAGGUUGCGGCUCAACCGUAAAAUUGCAAUUGAUACUGGCAGUCUUGAGUACAGUUGAGGUAGGCGGAAUUCGUGGUGUAGCGGUGAAAUGCUUAGAUAUCACGAAGAACCCCGAUUGCGAAGGCAGCUUACUAAACUGUGACUGACAUUGAUGCUCGAAAGUGUGGGUAUCAAACAGGAUUAGAUACCCUUGUAGUC